rnacentral:tRNA from 1 species
GUGGGAUUGGUCUAGUUGGUCAAGAUACGGGGCUUCCACCCUCGUGACAUCGGUUCGAGUCCGAUAUCUCACAUAU